ACAGGAAGUUAUUGUGUUACCAUAGCGACUUUUCCGGAUCUGAUACCUUGAAUGGAAAGUCUGGGGGACUUUUUGCAGUCAAAGAGGUGGUCUCGCUGUAUCCUACCCAAGUCAAUAAAUCAUUGGACUGGAAAAGGAUUUUGGUUCAGACGUUCCUGCAUAACUUCACCCAUCCUGAUAGAAAUCAACAUUAUUUUAAAUGUAAAGAUGGCUAGGCCAGUCAUUUUUUGGGGUGAACAUGGAUGUCAUUGAAAAGGUGCUCUGGGACUCAAUAUUACAAGAAAAAUGCCUUCUGAUUCUGGAAAAUUUCACCAUUUAUAGGGAACCCCCAUUUUAUGUGAACUUCUCACAGGAUAUCCACAACAUUAUUAGGGAACAACUCAAUUCCUUUCAGAAUUCUUCUAAGAGAGCCUUUUGAGUUGGAAACCAACUUAUAUCAGCCUGUAAUGCUUCAUCUGGAGACUUUUUGCCUUCAAGAUUCUCCACCUAUGACCAUCGCUGAAAGAAAAGAGGUCCAUGAAGACCAUGGAAGCAUGUGCUAUGGAGUGGAACUUGCUCAGUCACUGACGAUACCAAGGUCAGCUACUGCAUCCAGAGCCAUCCCCAGUGGUCUUCCAGAGCAAUCCCCAGUGGUCUUGACUUUUAUCUUACUACUCAACUCUGAUGAUUCUGGAAGAGAGAGUGAAGCUGACAAUUUCAUGCAAUUCUUCAUUACUUCAAUCUAAUUUGCACAGGUCAAAAAUAUUUUACUAUCAUAAUAAAACAUAGUAA